UACGGAGGGUGCAAGCGUUGUUCGGAAUUACUGGGCGUAAAGAGCGCGUAGGCGGCCGGACAAGUCAGUUGUGAAAGCCCGGGGCUUAACCUAGGAAGUGCGUUCGAAACUGAUCGACUAGAGUAUGGGAGAGGAAAGUGGAAUUCCCGGUGUAGCGGUGAAAUGCGUAGAUAUCAGGAGGAACACCAGCGGCGAAGGCGGCUUCCUGGACCAAUACUGACGCUGAGACGCGAAAGCGUGGGGAGCAAACAGG
rnacentral:rRNA from 1 species